rnacentral:rRNA from 1 species
AUUGAACGCUGGCGGCAUGCUUUACACAUGCAAGUCGAACGGUAGCAGGGUGCUUGCACCGCUGACGAGUGGCGAACGGGUGAGUAAUGCGUCGGAACGUGCCGAGUAGUGGGGGAUAACGCAUCGAAAGGUGUGCUAAUACCGCAUACGUACUGAGGUAGAAAGUGGGGGACCUUCGGGCCUCACGCUAUUCGAGCGGCCGACGUCUGAUUAGCUAGUUGGUGAGGUAAAGGCUCACCAAGGCGACGAUCAGUAGCGGGUCUGAGAGGAUGAUCCGCCACACUGGGACUGAGACGCGGCCCAGACUCCUACGGGAGGCAGCAGUGGGGAAUUUUGAACAAUGGGCGCAAGCCUGAUCCAGCCGUGCCGCGUGUCUGAAGAAGGCCUUCGGGUUGUAAAGGACUUUUGUCCGGGAGCAAAUACCCAGUGCUAAUAACGCUGGGGGCUGAGAGUACCGGAAGAAUAAGCACCGGCUAACUACGUGCCAGCAGCCGCCGUAAGAC